rnacentral:misc_RNA from 1 species
GAUGAAGAACGCAGCGAAAUGCGAUAAGUAAUACGAAUUGCAGAAUUCCAGUGAGUCAUCGAAUCUUUGAACGCACAUUGCGCCCUUUGGUAUUCCGAAGGGCAUGCCUGUUCGAGCGUCAUUAUCACCCCUCAAGCCCUCGGCUUGGUGUUGGACGGUUUGGUGGAGGCCCCCUCGGGGGCUCCUGCCCCUCCCAAAGACAAUGACGGCGGCCUCGUUGGACCCCCGGUACACUGAGUUCUUCACGGGACACGUAUCGGACACAUGGGUUUACGGGACACGGUCUGCCUCCCCUCAGGGAGAAUCUUUCUAAGGUUGACCUCGGAUCAGGUAGGGAUACCCGCUGAACUUAAGCAUAUCAAUAAGCGGAGGA